CUUGGUCACACUCUGUGGUAUGGGGAACCUGCUGGGAAACCUGGUGCUGGUAGGUUUUGAAUGCUGGCAAGGUACCUUGGAAGUUCUUGAAAAAGGUUAACCAGAAGGGUUCAUGGACUCAAGCUUAAAAUCAUCUUUUAUUCGGUAUACAGGAGGUCAUGGAAUUGAGAAUUAUCCACUGCAGAUGACUGGAUGGGUAGGAGGAAGAAAGGAAGCCUAGGGGGAACAAGGUCACCUGAUACUGCAACAGGGGUUCACGCUCAGGGGUACUUAAGAAGAAAUUUGAAGAUUGUACUUUUUGUUUUCAUUCUUGAAUUUUGUGGUUUUGACCCAUGCUAUAAGACACUGAGUCUCAUUUACAUCUGUUGGAUUUUGUUCACUUCAGGUUUGCC